rnacentral:rRNA from 1 species
UACAGGGGGGGCAAGCGUUGUUCGGAAUUACUGGGCGUAAAGGGCCAGUAGGCGGCCGAUUAAGUCCGACGUGAAAUCCCCAGGCUUAACCUGGGAACUGCGUCGGAUACUGAUUGGCUUGAAUUCGGGAGAGGGAUGCAGAAUUCCAGGUGUAGCGGUGAAAUGCGUAGAGAUGUGGAGGAACACCGAUGGCGAAGGCAGCCCCCUGGGCUAACACUGACGCUCAUGCACGAAAGCGUGGGGAGCAAACAGG